CCAGAAGCAAUGAUUAUUUCCCAAGAUGAUCGACGCUGAACUUACUGAGCGAUUUUUCUAUUUAGAGAAACCAACCCAAUUGAAGGGG